UACGGGGGGGGCAAGCGUUGUUCGGAAUUACUGGGCGUAAAGGGUUCGUAGGUGGCCAACUAAGUCAUACGUGAAAUCCCUCAGCUUAACUGGGGAACUGCGUCUGAUACUGGUUGGCUUGAGUGCAGGAGAGGAACGCGGAAUUCCAGGUGUAGCGGUGAAAUGCGUAGAUAUCUGGAGGAACACCGGUGGCGAAGGCGGCGUUCUGGACCGACACUGACGCUGAGGAGCGAAAGCCAGGGGAGCCAAAGCGGG
rnacentral:rRNA from 1 species